UACGUAGGUGGCAAGCGUUGUCCGGAAUUAUUGGGCGUAAAGCGCGCGCAGGUGGUCUCUUAAGUCUGAUGUGAAAGCCCACGGCUCAACCGUGGAGGGUCAUUGGAAACUGGGGGACUUGAGUACAGAAGAGGAAAGUGGAAUUCCACGUGUAGCGGUGAAAUGCGUAGAGAUGUGGAGGAACACCACUGGCGAAGGCGACUUUCUGGUCUGUAACUGACACUGAGGCGCGAAAGCGUGGGGAGCAAACAGG
rnacentral:rRNA from 1 species